rnacentral:rRNA from 1 species
UACGGGGGGGGCAAGCGUUGUUCGGAAUUACUGGGCGUAAAGGGCUCGUAGGCGGCCGACUAAGUCAGACGUGAAAUCCCUCGGCUUAACCGGGGAACUGCAUCUGAUACUGGAUGGCUUGAGUUCGGGAGAGGGAUGCGGAAUUCCAGGUGUAGCGGUGAAAUGCGUAGAUAUCUGGAGGAACACCGGUGGCGAAGGCGGCAUCCUGGACCGACACUGACGCUGAGGAGCGAAAGCCAGGGGAGCAAACGGG